rnacentral:rRNA from 1 species
UACGUAGGCAGCGAGCGUUGUUCGGAGUUACUGGGCGUAAAGGGUGUGUAGGCGGUCCUUUAAGUUUGGUGUGAAAUCUCCCGGCUCAACUGGGAGGGUGCGCCGGAUACUGAGGGGCUAGAGUGCGGGAGAGGAGAGUGGAAUUCCUGGUGUAGCGGUGAAAUGCGUAGAUAUCUGGAGGAACACCGGUGGCGAAGGCGGCGUCCUGGACCAACACUGACACUGAGGAGCGAAAGCCAGGGGAGCAAACGGG